CUAGUGACCGAUAGUGAACCAGUACCGUGAGGGAAAGGUGAAAAGCACCCCGGGAGGGGAGUGAAAUAGAACCUGAAACCGUGUGCCUACAACAAGUUCGAGCCCGUUAAUGGGUGAGAGCGUGCCUUUUGUAGAAUGAACCGGCGAGUUACGAUAUGAUGCGAGGUUAAGUUGAAGAGACGGAGCCGUAGGGAAACCGAGUCUUAAUAGGGCGUAUUAGUAUCAUGUCGUAGACCCGAAACCAUGUGACCUACCCAUGAGCAGGUUGAAGGUGAGGUAAAACUCACUGGAGGACCGAACCAGGGCACGUUGAAAAGUGCUUGGAUGACUUGUGGGUAGCGGAGAAAUUCCAAACGAACUUGGAGAUAGCUGGUUCUCUCCGAAAUAGCUUUAGGGCUAGCGUCGAUGUUAAGUCUCUUGGAGGUAGAGCACUGUUUGGGUGAGGGGUCCAUCCCGGAUUACCAAUCUCAGAUAAACUCCGAAUGCCAACGAGAUAUAAUCGGCAGUCAGACUGCGAGUGCUAAGAUCCGUAGUCGAAAGGGAAACAGCCCAGACCACCAGCUAAGGUCCCAAAAUAUAUGUUAAGUGGAAAAGGAUGUGGGGUUGCACAGACAACUAGGAUGUUAGCUUAGAAGCAGCUAUUCAUUCAAAGAGUGCGUAAUAGCUCACUAGUCGAGUGACCCUGCGCCGAAAAUGUACCGGGGCUAAAACAUAUUACCGAAGCUGUGGAUACCUUUAUAGGUAUGGUAGGAGAGCGUUCUAUGUGCGAAGAAGGUGUACCGUGAGGAGUGCUGGAGCGCAUAGAAGUGAGAAUGCCGGUAUGAGUAGCGAAAGACAGGUGAGAAUCCUGUCCACCGUAAGACUAAGGUUUCCAGGGGAAGGCUCGUCCGCCCUGGGUUAGUCGGGACCUAAGGAGAGACCGAAAGGUGUAUCCGAUGGACAACAGGUUGAUAUUCCUGUACUAGAGUAUAUAGUGAUGGAGGGACGCAGUAGGCUAACUAAACCAGACGAUUGGAAGUGUCUGGCCAAGCAGUGAGGUGUGAUAUGAGUCAAAUGCUUAUAUCUAUAACAUUGAGCUGUGAUGGGGAGCGAAGUUUAGUAGCGAAGUUAGUGAUGUCACACUGCCGAGAAAAGCUUCUAGCGUUAAUUAUACUCUACCCGUACCGCAAACCGACACAGGUAGUCGAGGCGAGUAGCCUCAGGUGAGCGAGAGAACUCUCGUUAAGGAACUCGGCAAAAUGGCCCCGUAACUUCGGGAGAAGGGGCGCUGACUUAUGGUCAGCCGCAGUGAAUAGGCCCAAGCAACUGUUUAUCAAAAACACAGCUCUCUGCUAAAUCGUAAGAUGAUGUAUAGGGGGUGACGCCUGCCCGGUGCUGGAAGGUUAAGAGGAGUGCUUAGCAAUAGCGAAGGUAUGAAUUGAAGCCCCAGUAAACGGCGGCCGUAACUAUAACGGUCCUAAGGUAGCGAAAUUCCUUGUCGGGUAAGUUCCGACCCGCACGAAAGGCGUAAUGAUUUGGGCACUGUCUCAACGAGAGACUCGGUGAAAUUUUAGUACCUGUGAAGAUGCAGGUUACCCGCGACAGGACGGAAAGACCCCAUGGAGCUUUACUGCAGUUUGAUAUUGAGUAUCUGUACCACAUGUACAGGAUAGGUAGGAGCCUAUGACCUCGGGACGCCAGUUUCGAGUGAGGCGUUGUUGGGAUACUACCCUUGUGUUAUGGCUACUCUAACCCAGAUAGGUUAUCCCUAUCGGAGACAGUGUCUGACGGGCAGUUUGACUGGGGCGGUCGCCUCCUAAAAGGUAACGGAGGCGCCCAAAGGUUCCCUCAGAAUGGUUGGAAAUCAUUCGCAGAGUGUAAAGGUAUAAGGGAGCUUGACUGCGAGAGUUACAACUCGAGCAGGGACGAAAGUCGGGCUUAGUGAUCCGGUGGUUCCGCAUGGAAGGGCCAUCGCUCAACGGAUAAAAGCUACCCUGGGGAUAACAGGCUUAUCUCCCCCAAGAGUUCACAUCGACGGGGAGGUUUGGCACCUCGAUGUCGGCUCGUCGCAUCCUGGGGCUGUAGUCGGUCCCAAGGGUUGGGCUGUUCGCCCAUUAAAGCGGCACGCGAGCUGGGUUCAGAACGUCGUGAGACAGUUCGGUCCCUAUCCGUCGCGGGCGUAGGAAAUUUGAGAGGAUCUG
rnacentral:rRNA from 1 species